AAGAAUUACCAUAUUAGGCAAAUUACUAACAGUGAGUUUCAAAAUAUGUUAUUUGUCAACUCAAGAAUUAUUUACGUCUUUUAGACAAUAUUGGAGGCGUUUAAUACCAAGCGGAAUUGUAUAAUUAUGCAAUUAAAUUAUAUAAAAUAGUAGUAAAAAUUAUCGUUCAAGAAAAUUAAAAUAUAUUUUAGUUUCUUUUAUAUACGCUCUGUAAAGACUGUAUUUGCUGAGUCCACUGUGCACAAAUAUAAAUAAAUUUGUCAACAGAAAUAACCAAGGGCUAAUGCAAAGUACAGUCUCGAUUAGCUGUCCAAAACGGACCGAAAGUAGGUCGGAUAAUAUUAAAUGUCGGAUAAUUUCGGAAUACUAAUAAAAUGGACGAUGACACACAGGCCUAUUGAAUGUCAAGGUCGUAUCCGGGAGACCACAGUUUCAAAUCUCGACUCGAACAUCCGGCUAUACUGUAAGAGAUUUACGUGGGUUUUCUCAGUCCCCCCAGCCAAAUGCGACAUGUUAAUGUAAUUCUUGUUAUAUAAUUCUAAUUCAUUAAUAAUCGCCUAACCUAGA